UGUACCUGGUAAGAGAUUGGGGGUGGCUUCCCCACCAAAGUCCCAGAGUGUGUGGCUGUUCUGAGUUUACUAGGGGAAGUGAUCAUGUGUGGCCACUAUGUGGGUGAGUGCAGCAGGGCUGCCCCACACAACCAUACAGUUGGUCACAGGUCACACAACCAUUUCAUCCCACCACUCUGGCAGUGUGGGAAUGAGUGUGUUUGCUCCCUGUCCGCCCAGUAUGCUAUACUGUUUCCUCUUUUGAGCCCCUUCCCAAAGCCAUUGCCACCCACCCACUCAGGAGAAACUGAGGCUCAGAGAAGCCCAAGGUCAUCAGACCCUUUGCCUGCUUGGCUGAGUGGGUCACCCUCUCUUUAGCCCUCCCCGGUCCCCCAUUGCCCAGGGGCCAGAGUCAGUUUCCAGGCUCCCCGUGGAAGUGCUGACGUGGCUCUGAGCAGCUGUCUGGGGCCAGGAAGCAGGGCAGAUGUCACAGUGCCCAGGGGAGGAGGUGGCUCCAUGGGGAGGGUAGGCAGGGCCUCUUGCCUGGCUAGACAAGUUUCCUCUCCCUCCAGGCCUGGUUGGCUGUCUGGGGCUGGGGCACGGCCAUGGGCCAGGCUGACCUGCCUCCAAAUCUAGCUCCAGCUCCUCUGUGUAGCCGCCGACAAAUGUUGCAACCUCUCUGAGCUUCCUUCCCUGCCAAAGGAGAAUAACAGCAUCUGCUUUGGAUAGGUGUGAACCUCAAAUGAAAGCAGAGAUGUGCAAAGCCCCCAAUUCCAUGCUGGGCGCUCUGUUCCUGCUCAGUAAAUGUCAGUUAUUGUUGUC